CCGCUGAGUGGGGAGGAGAGAGGGACAGAGAGCCUGCUUCUUUAAAGGAGCAAAGCGGGAGAGGAGAGGAGCCGCUUACACGAGUGUAAGCGGCUCCUGUCCGGUUGGUUCCUUUAAAGCAAGCAGGCUCUCUGUCCCUCUCUCCUCCCCACUCAGCU